UGCUCCCUGACGGCUCACUCCUCGCCCCAGAGCAGGUCUGUCCUGGAUCACCAUCAAUCAGCCCUUCCCAACUCUGCAUUUUCUGAAGAAGCUGUAGACCCACGCUCACUGGAAGAGCAGGCUGAAGAAAGCAGGCAGAGGCCAGUGUUUCUUCAGGCACCUCUUUAACUAGCCCUGAUUCUGCCAACUUCGUAGGUGAUGACAAAGCCCAGCUAGGAUCACCCGAAGUGGCAGAAUCCACCUGGUGGUUUAAAUCCUUUUUUCAGUCUGUAC